GACGAACGCUGGCGGCGUGCUUAACACAUGCAAGUCGAACGGAAAGGCCCCUUUGGGGGUACUCGAGUGGCGAACGGGUGAGUAACACGUGAGUAACCUGCCCUUGACUUCGGGAUAACUUCAGGAAACUGGGGCUAAUACCGGAUAGGAAUCCUUGCUGCAUGGUGGGGGUUGGAAAGCUUCGGCGGUUUUGGAUGGACUCGCGGCUUAUCAGCUUGUUGGUGGGGUAGUGGCUUACCAAGGCUUUGACGGGUAGCCGGCCUGAGAGGGCGACCGGCCACAUUGGGACUGAGAUACGGCCCAGAAUCCUACGGGAGGCAGCAGUGGGGAAUAUUGCACAAUGGGCGGAAGCCUGAUGCAGCAACGCCGCGUGCGGGAUGACGGCCUUCGGGUUGUAAACCGCUUUCAGCAGGGGCGAAGCUUGUGGUGACGGUACCUGCAGAAGAAGCACCGGCUAACUACGUG
rnacentral:rRNA from 1 species